UGACCGCAACGGAACGGCGAAGGGACGGCCCCGAACGGUAGUAGUAGUUCGUAGUGAUUGGGGUG
rnacentral:rRNA from 1 species